rnacentral:rRNA from 1 species
GAUGAACGCUGGCGGCGUGCCUAAUACAUGCAAGUCGAGCGAACAGACGAGGAGCUUUUUCCUCUGACGUUAGCGGCGGACGGGUGAGUAACACGUGGAUAACCUACCUAUAAGACUGGGAUAACUUCGGGAAACCGGUGCUAAUAACGGAUAAUAUAUUGAACCGCAUGGUUCAAUAGUGAAUGACGGUUUUGCUGUCACUUAUAGAUGGAUCCGCGCCGCAUUAGCUAGUUGGUAAGGUAACGGCUUACCAAGGCAACGAUGCGUAGCCGACCUGAGAGGGUGAUCGGCCACACUGGAACUGAGACACGGUCCAGACUCCUACGGGAGGCAGCAGUAGGGAAUCUUCCGCAAUGGGCGAAAGCUUGACGGAGCAACGCCGCGUGAGUGAUGAAGGUCUUCGGAUCGUAAAGCUCUGUUAUUAGGGAAGAACAAAUGUGUAAGUAACUAUGCACGUCUUGACGGUACCUAAUCAGAAAGCCACGGCUAACUACGUG